AUUGAACGCUGGCGGCAUGCCUUACACAUGCAAGUCGAACGGCAGCGGACCUUCGGGUGCCGGCGAGUGGCGAACGGGUGAGUAAAGUAUCGGAACGUACCUUUCAGUGGGGGAUAACGUAGCGAAAGUUACGCUAAUACCGCAUAUUCGGUGAGCAGGAAAGCAGGGGAUCGCAAGACCUUGCGCUGAUUGAGCGGCCGAUAGCAGAUUAGCUAGUUGGUGAGGUAAAGGCUCACCAAGGCGACGAUCUGUAGCGGGUCUGAGAGGAUGAUCCGCCACACUGGAACUGAGACGCGGUCCAGACUCCUACGGGAGGCAGCAGUGGGGAAUUUUGGACAAUGGGGGCAACCCUGAUCCAGCCAUGCCGCGUGAGUGAAGAAGGCCUUCGGGUUGUAAAGCUCUUUCGGCCGGGAAGAAAUCGCGCAGGUUAAUACCCUGUGUGGAUGACGGUACCGGAAUAAGAAGCACCGGCUGACUACGUGCCAGCCGCCGCGGUAA
rnacentral:rRNA from 1 species